rnacentral:lncRNA from 10 species
CUUUUUCCAGAGAAGAGAAGCUUUACUGGUGUUCCAGCCCUAAGUCUCGCUCUGUCGCUCAGGCUGGAGUGCAAUGGCGCGAUCUCGGCUCACUGCAAGCUCCGCCUCCUGGGUUCACUCCAUUCUCCUGCCUCAGCCUCCGGAGUAGCUGGGACUACAGGCACCCGCCACCGCGCCCAGCUAAUUUUUUUUUUUUUUAGUAGAGACGCGGUUUCACCGUGUUAGCCAGGAUGGUCUCGAUCUCCUGACCUCGUGAUCCGCUCGUCUCGGCUUCCCAAAGUGCUGAGAUUACAGGCUUGCAGGCGUGAGCCACCGCGCCCGGCCGAGUUAAAGUACUUUUUCUGGAACAAAGAAACUUAGCAUAAAUAGUUAAAAUAUUAAGAGUUGUAAUUAAGGGAAAUUUCAGCUCAAUAUGACUUCAACAGUUUAAAAAAUGUAUUAUUUCACAUAAGACCAUGGAGAGAGGAAUUGGAAGCCCCAGAAUUGAUUGGGUCAGAAAUUGAAAAUGAUACUAUCAGUGACCCAGGUUUGAAUGUCUCUCUCCACAGCAUUGACUUCACUAAUGGAUGUGACCUGGUUGGCAGCAGUAGCUUGCACAACAUGCUUGUUUGCAGUGAGUAGUAGAGAGAAGGUUUUGCUUUCCCAGAAACUCUGAAAAAGGUCAUCAAACCUAAAUUUCCUUAGCCUUCUUCUUCCAUGAGCAAAUCACUAGCAGAUGAUUGCUAGCAAGGUGUUACUAUUACAAUGAACCCCUAAGUGUCAGAGAAAGAGUUAGUUUGGGGAAAUAUCCUCUCCACCACAAUCUUAGUCAUUGAAGUC